UUAAUACUCCCUCCGUUUCACAAUGUAAGUCAUUCUAGCAUUCCCCACAUUCAUAUUGAUGUUAAUGAAUCUAGAGAUAUAUAUCUAUCUAGAUUCAUUAACAUCAAUAUGAAUGUGGGAAAUGCUAGAAUGACUUACAUUGUGAAACGGAGGGAGUAAC
rnacentral:misc_RNA from 1 species